rnacentral:rRNA from 1 species
GAUGGACGCUGGCGGCGUGCCUAAUACAUGCAAGUCGAGCGAACAGACGAGGAGCUUGCUCCUCUGACGUUAGCGGCGGACGGGUGAGUAACACGUGGAUAACCUACCUAUAAGACUGGGAUAACUUCGGGAAACCGGAGCUAAUACCGGAUAAUAUAUUGAACCGCAUGGUUCAAUAGUGAAAGACGGUUUUGCUGUCACUUAUAGAUGGAUCCGCGCCGCAUUAGCUAGUUGGUAAGGUAACGGCUUACCAAGGCAACGAUGCGUAGCCGACCUGAGAGGGUGAUAGGCGAAAGUGGGACUGAGACAGGGCGCAAAGGACUACGGGAGGCAGCAGGAGGGAAUGUGCCGCAAUGUGCGAAAGAAUGACGGAGCAAUGCCGCGUGAGUGAAGAAGGACUUCGGAUCGUAAAACGCGGUUAUAAGAGAAGAACAAAGUGGAGAGUAACUGCUACAGUCGGGACGGUAUCUGAUCAGAAAGCCACGGCUAACUACGUG